rnacentral:rRNA from 1 species
UUGUUGGAGAGUUUGAUCCUGGCUCAGGACGAACGCUGGCGGCGUGCUUAACACAUGCAAGUCGAACGCUGAACCGGUUUCGGCCGGGGAUGAGUGGCGAACGGGUGAGUAACACGUGGGUAAUCUGCCUUGUACUCUGGGAUAAGCCUGGGAAACUGGGUCUAAUACCGGAUAUGACCUUUCACCGCAUGGUGGGGGGUGGAAAGUUCCGGCGGUACGGGAUGAACCCGCGGCCUAUCAGCUUGUUGGUGGGGUAGUGGCCUACCAAGGCGACGACGGGUAGCCGGCCUGAGAGGGUGACCGGCCACACUGGGACUGAGACACGGCCCAGACUCCUACGGGAGGCAGCAGUGGGGAAUAUUGCACAAUGGGCGCAAGCCUGAUGCAGCGACGCCGCGUGAGGGAUGACGGCCUUCGGGUUGUAAACCUCUUUCGCCAGGGACGAAGCGAGAGUGACGGUACCUGGAUAAGAAGCACCGGCUAACUACGUGCCAGCAGCCGCGGUAAUACGUAGGG